GACGUAGGGCGCGAGCGUUGUCCGGAUUUAUUGGGCGUAAAGAGCUCGUAGGCGGCUUGUCGCGUCGAAUGUGAAAACUCGGGGCUCAAUUCCGAGCUUGCAUUCGAUACGGGCAGGCUAGAGUUCGGUAGGGGAGACUGGAAUUCCUGGUGUAGCGGUGAAAAUGCGCAGAUAUCAGGAGGAACACCGGUGGCGAAGGCGGGUCUCUGGGCCGAUACUGACGCUGAGGAGCGAAAAGCGUGGGGGAGCGAAACAGG
rnacentral:rRNA from 1 species